rnacentral:rRNA from 1 species
GGGGAAUUUUGGACAAUGGGGGCAACCCUGAUCCAGCAAUGCCGCGUGAGUGAAGAAGGCCUUCGGGUUGUAAAGCUCUUUUGUCAGGGAAGAAACGGUUGCAGCUAAUAUCUGCGACUAAUGACGGUACCUGAAGAAUAAGCACCGGCUAACUACGUGCCAGCAGCCGCGGUAAUACGUAGGGUGCAAGCGUUAAUCGGAAUUACUGGGCGUAAAGCGUGCGCAGGCGGUUGUGUAAGUCAGAUGUGAAAUCCCCGGGCUCAACCUGGGAAUUGCAUUUGAGACUGCACGGCUAGAGUGUGUCAGAGGGGGGUAGAAUUCCACGUGUAGCAGUGAAAUGCGUAGAUAUGUGGAGGAAUACCGAUGGCGAAGGCAGCCCCCUGGGAUAACACUGACGCUCAUGCACGAAAGCGUGGGGAGCAAACAG